UACGUAGGGUGCAAGCGUUAAUCGGAAUUACUGGGCGUAAAGCGUGCGCAGGCGGCUUUGCAAGACAGAUGUGAAAUCCCCGGGCUUAACCUGGGAACUGCAUUUGUGACUGCAUGGCUGGAGUGCGGCAGAGGGGGAUGGAAUUCCGCGUGUAGCAGUGAAAUGCGUAGAUAUCAAGAGGAACACCUGAGGUGAAGACGGGUUGCUGAGCCGACACUGACGCUGAGUGCGCGAAAGCCAGGGGAGCAAACGGG
rnacentral:rRNA from 1 species